rnacentral:lncRNA from 1 species
UGCUUCUCUUAGCGGUGGUCCAGUCGUUGGUCCGAUGGCCGGAGCUGGACUUCUCCGACGUCGAAAAUGCAUGUUAUGCUUGAUGUAUUUAUUUCAUUCAUUUUAUUAAUUUAUUGGUUUUGAUUGUAUGAUUAUUAUGAUUAUGAUUUUGGUUUUAUGCUCUUAUUAUUUAACCUUAUAUUUUAAAUUUUUUUAGACAUUUAAGGGGCGGGAAAAUUGGUUUUGUAAGGCUGUGUUCGGCCGAGAAAAGCGGGGAACGAUUUCAGAACUUCAGAGAGUUCGCAUUUAAGUUUGUGCAUGUCACGUGAGAAAGGGAGGUUCGAGGGUCUUCGGAGAAGAGGGUAUAUAAUGAAGGGUUGUCGGUUUGGAGAUUGUUGAUUUUUUGGAGGCCAUUUUUGAGAUCUCUAUGAGAAAGUUUGGAAGUGAGAGAGAAAACAGAGAGAGUUUGAGAGAAAAACUUUAGCAGAGAAGUGAAGAUUGAGAGUUCCGGCAGAAGUUGUCAUGCUAUAGAAUUCCAGGCCAUCAGAUUUUCUUGAUUUCUCUUCAGGUUCCAAUUUUUCUAAACUCCUCCCAUGUAUUUAUGAAAAUCAAGCCUAUGAUCUUCUCAUUUUAUUGUUCUUAUUUUUUGGUUUAGAUCGGUUUGCUUUAUAGAGUUUAUGAUUGUCUUUCGUUCAUCCAUUGUUGAUGUGUAUUGGCUUUAGUAUUGUUGGAAUUUGAGAUUGAAUUUUCCCGUAGACCUUGUAUCUGGUAUCUUGAAUUUUUGUGGAAUCCUAACCCAUUAUUUCUGAAUAUAUAUUGAUUUGGAUUAGACCAUUGGGAAGUUUUGAGGGUGUUUUGUCUGUUCGUUUUAUGAUCUAAUGCCUUGGAACUUUAAGAGAUCCUUUUCUUUCUAUAGUCUCUGUUCUUCUAUGAUGAAUUUCAUUAUUUCUUAUCUAGUGAUUUUUUUAGUAAUCAGAUGAGAUCAUUCUGAGGUUUUAUUAACUUUAUUCCCAUUUUUUUGUUUGGAUCUAUAUUGUUUUAAUUAGUUCGAAACAUCAAGGUGAAUUAUUUGUAGAUCCUGUUUUUUUAGUGUAUUCUGAAUACUCAUUUGUAAUUUUGAAAGAAACAUUAUUUUUGACGAAUUUUUAUUGAUCUAUCUUGAUGUGAUAAGUUAUGCAGUUUUGAACUAUUUCUUUUACUUUAAGUCAUUAAAAGCCUAUUUAGGCAUUUUUAGAAUCCAGGAUUGAGAAGUUCUCUUGAAGGUUUCCUUUGAUAUCCCGUAACAGUUUAAUUAGAUUGUAAUAUAGUUUUGUAAUUUUCUUUGAAUUCUUGUUAAUUCCAGGAGGCCUAAGGCAGUGAGAUUACAGUUUUUUUUUAAUUCCAAUUAAUCAAAUCAUUCUAUAAUUUUAUUUUUUGAUGAUUUUGGAUUAAUUGUUAAUAUGAUUAGAAUCCUUCUUCAUUGGAAUGGAUUUAUCAUUAUCUUGGAACUUUGGUUUAUAAUCUGUCUUGAAAUUUCUAUUUCAGAUCCCAUUUUCAUGAAUUAAUUCGACUCAAUUGAAAAAUUAGUUCUGGACAAAUUCAUAUUAACUUAAUGUAAUUGGAAAUUCAAAUUUUGUAAACAUGAUUCAUUUUUUAUUUGUUCUAAUUUUUUUAUGUUGGUUUGGUGUGAUUAAUAAUCUAGGUUCAGUGAAUGUGAAUUAAUUCAUUAUAAUUAGAAUAUUAGGAUCCUUCCUUAUUCAUAUCAAACCAAUAAAAUUAGAUAUUCAGAUUUUUGCUUUGAUUGAUUGUUCUUGUUAAUUCUGUCUUGAUCAAAUUCAAAUGAAGGUUUAAAUUCCUCCAUUAUCAGCCCAUGUUAAUUUAAUUACAGAAUAGAUCUAGAUUUAUCUCCCUUGUGUUGCAUUAAUACAUUCACUAAUUUGAGUCAAUUAGAUCAAAAAGGAAUUUCUAUUUAUUUGAAUUGAUUUGUCCAAAGUGAAACCUAUAUCAUAUUUUUACUAAUUUAGAACUAUCUAAUUAAAUUGAACUUUGAACUUGUCUUUCUUUUGAAAUAAUUAAAUAAGAUUUCUGUUCAUUUGAAUCAAUUUACCUUAAAUGGAGAUCAUAUCAUGUUUUCACUGAUGUAAGAUUGAUUUAAAGUGAGAUUUGAAUGCUAUUUAUCGGAAUAGUUUAGUUUAGUCUAAAAUUGAUUCUAUUGAUAUUUAUUAAUAGUUGUUGAUUAAUUGAUUCCAAAUUAUCUUUUAUUAUUUCUAUUUUCUUUUAUUCUUUCUGUUUCUUGGAUUUGAAAUUCUUUAGGAUGUUUGGGAAUUGGUUGUAUUAGUUAUGGAUUUUAUCAAUUAUGUAAGAUCAGAUGAUUAAUUCUAAUGUGGAUCAUAUACUUUGGAAAUGAUUAACUAUUGUAUUUGGAAUUCUGGUUCCUAAUGUAAGCCCUUCUUUCCUUUGAUUGUACAUCAGAUUAUUCAUAAUGAUCAGAUUCAAUUUGUUUAAAUGAUUGUCUAAUUAUGUAUCUAUUCCUUUGUAUUUUUUUAUUAUGAUGAAUUUUCAGUGAUGCUGAGACCUUUGGAUUAAUAUAAAAUAGUUGAAAUAAUGUGGAGUAAAUGAAUAAACCAUUGUUCAAAGGAUAAUGUUAGCUACAGAUAAUGUUAAGGAAGGACAUAGUAUCCUGAUUUUGUAGUUUGAACAAUAUGAAAGGAAUAAUCAGCACAGUUUUAAUUAGUUAAGUAGUUUAAAAUAAUUGAUAUAAUAGACCAAUUUUUCAAUGUAAGGGAUUGUUGGAAAAUGUUUUAAAUAUUUACUAAAGCAUCAUUUCAAUCAUAAUAACCCAUAAUUACUAAAUUCCAUUAAUUCUAAAAUCUAAUUGAGAAGAUAUAAAUUCUGUUUUUUUUUUUCCUUUAAAGCCCUUGGAUUAGCUACAUGAUGAUGGGCUUUCAAAUAAAAUUUAAUAUCUUUGAAAAAUCCGUUUUCCAUUAUAUUGCACAAGAUAUUUCUUUCAUUCCUAUUUUUUUAAACCAUUACUUUUUUAAGAAAUGAUUUUUUUUUUCUAUAUACCAAAUAAUCUAUUGUUUUAAAUCAUUUUAUAAUCAUUCAAAUUUUCCCUUUAAGACAAUCUAGUUUCUCUAGGCUACCAAACCUUUAUUCUUUAAAAGGAAGAGAAUGCUACCUAAUCGCAUAGGUAUAUUUAAAAAAAAUAAUUAAAAGGGAUAUGCAUGAGUCAAAUAUUCAUAACUCCAAUUAAUGGAUGUUUAUGGGUAAAUUCGUGAAAAAUGAAAUAGGACCGAACAUGCCCCAAUAUACCAAACGAAUUUUAAAAUGAAUUUGAUUUUCUUUGAUUUAUUUGAAUGAUGAAUUCUUAAACUAAAGCUUGAACCAGACACGGAAAUAUUUCAACUCUUCAUAAUAUUAGGAGACUUUUAAUUAAGGUGCAAUGUAGUUUUAAUCAAGCUAAAAUAAUCAGAAUUACGUAUUAAUUUCUAUAUAAUGUCUAACAUCAUCAAACAAAAUAAAUUUGAUAAAACUAUGGGAGGAUAAAACUUAAUGCAAGAAAUCGGCAAAUAAUCAGACAACUUCCAUUUUUGUGCUAGAGAAAUCAUUUCUUGUAGAACUUUCCAACUCUUAUCUACUAGCACCAAGUAGGCCUUUACUAGUUCCUCCUUGACCAUGAAAUGUACAGAAGCUGCAAGACAGCUUCCUUGUCUGGAAUGUUAAAAUGCGCAAGAGAAUCAUUUCUGUAGAACUUUCCGGCUCUUAUCUGCUAGCACCAAGUAGGCCUUUACUAGUUCCUCCUUGACCAUGAAAAGUACAGAAGCUGCAAAAACACUCUGUACUAUCUUUGUGCUCAUUCCCUUGUAAAAUCCUGGUAAUCCUUCAUAACGGAUCAUCUUAAUUAUUGCAUCAAAUGUACCUGUAAUAGAAAUCAUUCAAUUACCAUUUUGAUAACCAUAGAUAAGGUAUCAACUCACCUUUUAAAGCAUAAAGAGAAACAGUGUGCCCUCUCAGAGUUGAGCAUCUACUUCUGAAUGAAUGAUAAACUGGGAGAAAUAAAAGAUCAAACAGCAUUGAUACCAUUGAUUAUGAUCACUGACAAAAGCAGUAUGGCAAUGCAAGAAGAGAAAUCCAUGAAAUAGACAGAAAAAUCGAUGAACAAGAAAAAACAGCCCAGCAGCAUUACCACCAUUCCAGUCAACUGAGGUUCUAAAACCACAAUUUCUUUUCCGCUGUUACUGAUGCAGAUACAAAAUAAUAUUGCUUUUAUUUCACCACGAAUUCUUCCCACCUAAGAGAAUGAAGAGGGGGUUGAGUCCAACUAUAAGUUCCUAGUCUUAAUAUAGAAUAUGGAAGCCUUGAACCUGUCAGUUUCAAAAUUCAAAACCCUAGAAUUUAAAACUCUUAAGAGUCAAUAGCAAUGCAGAUGUGACUAAAUUAAAAAGUUUGCUCCAUCUAGAAGAAAAGGCCUUCUUAAUUUUAUAAUUUACAUGCUUUGGACCUACUAAAAAUCAGCUUGGUUUGAUGAUUUUCACUGUCCAAGUUUCAUUGAAAUUCUUGUUUGAUUGAAGAAGUUAAAAAAAUGUCAAAUUAAAUGCCCCACAUGGCAUUCCUGAUCAUUUCUUGAUGCAGGCAUAAAGAGAAAUGAUUAUUUACUCGCACAUAAUGGACCGAGCUUCAUUACAAACUGUUAAAAUUUGGCAUUCAAAGUUAGGGUUUUAAUUUAGGAAAGUAUUUUAGGAAUAAAAAAGGAGAGAUCAUUUAGGAUGAUUCAGUUUCCUAAUUUUAGGAGAGAAUCAAGCUAGAUUGAUAUUUUCUUAUUCAGUCAUUUGUGUAUAUAUAUGUGUAUGGUGUGUACCUAAAAAAUCAAUAAAGGAAUUCAGAAAUUCUUCACAAAGGGUAGAUAGAGAUGAUGUCAACCAAAAAUCCACAACUGAUGGCUAACCACAAAAUGGUUAAAUAAAGAAGAGAAAUGCAGUAUGAUUUGCAUCAUUCAGUAGCAAGCCAACUCCCAUAGACAGGCAAAGGAUAUUCGGUACCUCUGGGAAUCAAAGCUACAAGACUAGUCUUCUUUCUUCUCCUUCAAUCUGACGUACGAUGUUUUAAUAGACAACCCUAAUCAACUCCUCUAGAAAAUGCCUACACAUAAAGAACCAAGGAAAUUUUUGGUAGCACCUAGGAUAUUAAAAUAAUGCCUCUAGAGAAAGUGUGGUGUUGCUUGCUUUCCUUACUGUUUCCUCUCAUGGGUCUAAGGUCAAUUCAUUCAAUGAGAUCUGCUAGGGGAUUAGAUUUUAGUAUUUACACACGUGUGUGCACACCUGUCACUCUGUUCAGUCUGUCACUUAACUUCAUCAACGCCUUUCCUCACUCCACUCCCUCAAUUUGAUAUGAUACAUCCCUCAAGGGGGAGUUCACUUCUCUCAUCUCUCUGGAUGGGAGACCUAUCUUCUGAGCCCUUGGACUAGUAAAAUCCUCAGCAUCAGGUUAGUUCCUAAAUCUCUAUCCCCUAUGGGGAUAUCAUACCUAGAUAAUUAGUACUAAACUGAAGUUACGCUUCAAACACACCUAUGACAUUAGGAGACCACCUAGCUUACUACUUCCCUGUCUUGAAGGAGAGAUUCAAAUUUUCAAAAGAGAAAACAGAAGAACAAAAGAAAUGGAAGCCUCAUAGAUGUGUGUGCUACAUUCACAACACUAGGGGGCACCUGCACCACCUUUUAGCUUAGUGUGGCAAAGCUUAACCUGACAUUAGAGUUUGGCAUUGUUUGACUUUAGGACUCCAAACUAAGAUCUUUACCUGUGUAAGACUAAUCAGUGUUAUUUUACAAUUCAUCUUAAAGUGGUUCAGUCAAUAAAUAAAAUUUAUCUGAAAGCAAACCUGAGUAUCUUAAUGAGAUGUUCCCACCAAUCUCCUGCUUUGCUUGAAGCCUUGACUGCAUAGAGGAACAUAUUGAGAAAGUAAGUUAUUCAAAAUGCAGAAUGCCGCAAUUUUCCUAAAUACAUGGCCAUUCAAUAUGUCCACUGGAUGUAAAUAAGAAACAAUGUUUAGUCACCAAAUGCAGAGUAGGCUACAUGGCCAUGGUUUAUAUAGCUUGUGCGCUUAUGCAGUUACAGAUGCUACUCAGGAAGCUAGUUUUCUGAUUGACAAAAUCAAUGGAAAUACCUCAUAACAUCAAAAAUUCAUUUUUCUAACCUGUAUCCAAUAUUAUAAGAGAGAGAACUAGAAGUGUGAGGGUUGUAAUUUUAACCCUGAUGAGUAAAAUCUAGACCAUCUUUGUUAAGUCAAAUAACUAAUUAGCUAAUGUGUCCAUGUCUUAAUCAACUUUAGAUUAUGUCUUCAAACCUGGGCAUGGCAUGUUACAUGUAUAUUAAUACUUUGGCUGAGGAGAAAUGUUGAGACAUUGCAACGAAAAUGUGCUUCUUUAUUCAAGUGGUGCUAAUAACUCAACUUAAGAAUUGGAGACUUUUAUCAAAGGAGGAUGUGACUAAUCAAAGGUAGAAGAGUUCUCAUAAAUCAUUUAAUGAAAACCAUGUAAGGUACUCGAGUUUUGAACAGAAUAGUUCUAUCAAGUUCAGCUACUACAGGUAUUUCCAAAGAAUAAGAGUCUUUGAAUUACUAAAGCUCUAAAGAAGAUUACUGUAUGAAAGAAAUUAGAACCCGAAUGCUAGAACCCUGAUAAUUAGUUUUUCACUAGUGCAUUUAACAGGUUUUUAAAAGUUAACAGACAACUUGCACAUUAAGAGGGACAACUUCCCUCCCUUCAACCCAUCUAGGACUUCCAUUGGGAGCUCCUUUCAAGUCCUCUAGGGUAUGGGAUGGGGUGGAAGAGAGAUUUCGAAAAAGAUUAGCAUUGUGGAAGAGGCAGUAUCUUUCAAAAGGUGGAAGGUUGACCUUGGUGAAGAGCACUUUGUCCAAUCUAUCGAUUUACUUUAUGUCUUUCUUUGUCAUUCCAAGGAGAGUAGCCGCUAGAUUAGAGAAGAUUCAAAUAGACUUUUUGUGAGGAGGAAGUGCCUUAGAAUAGAAGCCACACUUGGUGAGAUGGGCUAUUGUUCGGUUGGACAAACAACAAGGAGGCUUGGGUAUCAAAGAUUUAACCAUCCUCAAUGAGGCUCUCUUAGGCAAGUGGUCUUGAAGAUUUGUAAGUGAAAGGGACCCUCUUUGGAAACGGGUGAUUGGAGGCAAGUAUGGGCAAGUUGAGGGGGGUUCGUGUUCUAAAGUUGUUAGGAAAGGGCAUGGUGUGGGGGUGUGGGGGUGCGAAAGGCUAUUAGAGGCAGAUGGGAGAUGUUCAAAACAAGAACUGGAUUUACAAUUGGGUUUGGAAACAGGGUGAAGUUCUUGAAGGACAAGUGGUGUGGGGAUUCAUCCUUGAGAGAGUCCUUUCCUGAGCUUUAUUCCAUAACCUCCUCUAAAGAUGCUUAGGUGAGUGACCUUUAGGAGGAUGGUGGUUGGAGUCCUAGGUUUAUGAGGCAACUGCAUGAUUAGGAGCUAGAGAAGGUGCAAGCCUUCUUGGGGAGAUUGUCAAUACACCCCUUGUCUGUGGAGACCGAUGAUGUCAUGGUAUGGUUGCCUACGAAGGAUGGUGCUUUCUCUGUGAAGUCCUUGUACUCCUCCUUGGUCGAUAUGAGAGUGGAACUGUUCCCCCAUGGUAUUGUUUGGAAUUCUUGGGUGCCCCUGAGAAUUAGCUUUUUUGCUUGGGAAGCAACUUGGGUCAAGAUUUUGACUCUAGAUCAACUCAAAAAGAGGGGUUGGAGGAUUCCUAAUAGAUGUUACUUGUGUAAGGAAGAAGAAGAAACUAGUGACCAUAUUCUCAUCCAUUGUUCGAAAGCUCGUUUGUUGUGACAGUUGAUCUUUGCACUUUUUGGCAUUCAGUGGAUGUUGAGUUUUUCAAUUAGAGAGGUUCUUCUGAGUUGGCAUGAGUCCUUUGUGGGUAAAAAGAGGAAGAAGGCUUGGAAAGCUGCUCCGUUGUGUAUGUUUUGGGCUUUAUGGCGGGAGAGAAAUAGGAGGACUUUUGACAACUUUGAAAGCAUGGAUCAAACAAUUAAAAAUUCUUUUUUGUAUCUAUUUUGGGAUUAGGUUAGAUUGUACAUUGAGGGCGGAUCUUUGUCAUUGUUAGACUUUGUGGAUUGGGUAGGCUCACGAUAGGGUGCGGUAACAGGUUUUUAUGUCUUUGCGCCUUUUUGUCCUUUUUUCUUUGUAUACGACGUGUAUACUUUCUUUCCUUUAAUACAAUUAUUAUUUACCUAUCACCAAAAAAAAAAAAAAAAGCCCUGUGAGUGAACUUUACCUUGACAACCAAUAAAGGGUACGUUGCAACAGUUGCUCCCAGUUUUGCCAAGGCCCCUAAUAAGAAAACCUGUUCACAAAAGAGUAGAAAAUGAGAGAGGGAAAGGGAAGUAGAUGUUCGGGGUGGUUUCCAAUUCCAAGAAGGCUACUGAGUUGAGCAUUGCUAAUUUAUAUAAGGACACCUGCUUUGGUAGGAAACCAUAUUGAAAAGAUAAAAUCAACCUUUUAUGACAUGAAAAACAUAGGGUUUAAUAUAGGUAAAUUUUGGUAUUUGAUGCCUCAUUUGAACAUCCCUGAUUUUGGCAGGCUACCGAGUUUAACAUCCCUAAUUUAGAUGAGGACACCCACUUUUGUAGGAAAGAACAUUGAAAGAUAAAUUUACCCUUUAUGGCAUAAGAAAAACAUGUCUUUAAUACAGGCAAAUUUUGAUUUCCAAUGGCUAGUUUAAAUUGGGUCGCCCAUCUAACAAUAACCAGAAUAGUUAAAGAAGCACAAGUUAUAGGCUGUCAACAUGAAGUAUCAUAUAGAUCAUAAUAAUUUUAAUUCCAGUAAAAUAUAACUAAUAAAAAUGAUUAUACAAAGUGCUCUCCAAUUUCACCAUCUCAAGGGUGUAUUUUACCUCCAAAGCAGUUACGGUUUUUAAUCCCUGCUUGUUCUCAGCACGUUUUGCCCUUAGAUGCUUUAAUGACGUCUCAUAAAUCAUAAACUGGAUGGAUGGAUUGCACACCUGGUAUGUAUUGACCUUCAGUAAUAGUUGCAGUAACUCAGACACUUUAUGUAAUAUUAAUUCAGUUACCAAAUAAGACUGACCAUAAUAAGUGUUGGGAUGAUGCCUUUCCAGAAUCCGGUAAUUCCUGCUUCUUUAUAAACUUCAUGUGCCUAUAGAUGAUGUAUAAACAUAUAACAGAAACAAAAGAUAAAUAUAUAUUUGGCAGUGACCACAGUAACAACAAUCUCAUUUUCAAUAAAUCAAGUAAUGAUGACAUAUCUUCAAUGCAGUAAAUAUAACCAUAUUCCCAUCAGUAAAUACUGUCAAUCUGUUCCACACCAAUGCACUACACCCAUUGGCGGUGUACUUCUGGAAAUAGAAACUCUUGGCAUUUGAAAUUCAAACAUAAAACAAGGAACCCCAUCACAGGAAAACCGAUUUAUACUUCAGAGAUUACUUUCUGAAAAAAGAAAAAAACAAACAAACAAACAAAAUCCAUGUCAUGUAAUUUUUAGGUCAUUGUCAAAAGGUACAAGGAUUUUGGACACCUUUUAUGUCAAAGAAUCUGGAUUCAGAGCAGGUAACAGUUUGUGACACCCGACACUCCUUGAGCUAUGGUAAACUAAAGCUCCCAUGCGGGUUAGCCAAGAGCUUCCAAUUAAUGAUUGAAGGUUAAAAGUCAAAUAAUUAAACAACAUGAUCACUUGUACUUUUGAAUCUGAAAACACAAGCAGAAGCAUCUUUAAAGAAGUUUGAUACUAAAAUGGGUAAAAAUUUUGCAUUGAAAAAGCAGAGAAAAAGGAGAAGCACUGACCACCAACAAUCCCACGGUAAAUGCAAGCAUGACCAACAAAAAGGAAAUAGAAAUAAUACCAACCGCAUGCAGUGUCCCAUAAGGAAGAGGUUUCAUUGCAUUAAGUUUAGCAAGUCCGUCUUGAAAAUUAGGAGAACCUAUCAAAUUUCUUUCACUAGCUUCCUUCAAUAGAGCUUCCUUCUUUGCCUCCAUGAUUUUUCUUUCUGCUUGAGUAUGCGUCUAAAAUCAAAUAAAGAACCUCAAUGUUGAAUCAUCAAUUGAAUUGUAAAGCAUGGACAAAUCUUUCAGUUGACAAAAUACAAUAACAUAUGAUAAAACAUUCAAAGAUCAUGGGCCCAUUCUGUUCUGAAAAAGGAAAUGAGUAUAUGCAUGCAAUUUCAACCAAACGCUCUUUCUCAUAUGCCAUCAUCUGCUGUUCAUGUUAUAAAAUUUGUGAAUGGGAAACACACCAAACCAGCAAUAUAUAAAAGUUCGAGUAAAGAUAUAUUUUUCCAUAAAUAGCAGGGUUAGAACACUGAAAAACAGAGCAUUUUAAAAGGAAUGUUUUCAAAGCCUGUAUACUCCAAAUCGGACAAACUCAGUGAGUCAAAGUAAUACAAGAUAAGCAUACGAUAUAUAAAACUAGCAAGUCUUCCUCCAUUGAAACAAAGGUGGAUAACUCCUACAAUUAUGUGGAUCUGAUCCUAACUUAAGUCUUUCCUUUAGGUAUACAAAAAAUAAACAAUAAUAUAAAUAGUUGUCAUGCAGCAUCAUCAAUGCUGAAUUCUUGAUUCUCAUGAAAAUUAGUUGACUAUUGAAGAUGCCACUUAGUAAAAUAGAAUCAGACUUUUGGAUAAAUACAUGUAGAAACCAAUUUACAGGUACCUAACUAGAAGCAUCAGAAAAUGUAACCAAAGUUACUGAAAUCACCUGCAUACGGGUCACAAGUACCCAUAUAGGGUUUGUCAGCAAUACAUUCAAGGACCUGCAAAAUAAUGCAUUUGCAGUAAGAUACUUGCUGGAAGAUUUGAAAAUUAUGUCCAGAUCUGAUUGGCUAUAAUCGGUUUGUGAAUAUUGUAAUCGAUUCAAAUGGUUGUAUAUUUGGUUUCUUUCCCCUAUUUCUUCCCUAGAAAUUUGGUUGUAAUUAGAUUUCCUGAUUUAGUCCUAAAUUAGCCAUAACCUAGUCAACUCUCUAUGUAUAUAACCAAUACUCACCCUUUUGGGAAUUAAUAUAGUAAAAAGCUUUAUAUCAAUCCCUUUUCCCUCCAGUUUAAAUCUGCCAUCCCCCUUUUAAUCUUAGAAAUUCUCAAUAAUGUCAUAAAUCUCUGAAAACUAUGCGUUCAAAACUUCAUGGAAAGCCCCAAUAUGGGAAUAAGGGAACUAGUACGAGAGGAGGAAAUCAGAAGGUGAAAAAUGGACAAACAAAUCAAAGAAUUGUUGUGGGAGAAUCCCAAUCAAUAGGAAUUCUCACUAAGAGUAAUAUAGAGAAACUAAAAAGGAUGUUGAAUCAGCUUGAAAUUCUUAAUCCAAGUUCUACACCAACUACGGGUUUUUGCUCUAUGGAUCAAUUAGGUAAUAUCCAUGCAAUGAAUGUUUCUAAGGAUUGUUUUUUCCAGCACCGUGAUCAUUGAUCCAAGUGCAACAAAUCAUACGACCCAUUUUGCAAAGUUAUUUUCUGCUUACUCUACAUGUUCUGGAGAACAAAAAAUAAAGAUUGUUAUCAGCAGAGGUUGCACAAGCUUUGGUGGUCAACACAAGUUCAGAUUUGUCUCAUCAACAAUUGACCAUUCAAAAAUUGAAUGGCAAAAACUACACUCAGUGGUCCCAGUCUGCAAUCAUCUCCAUCAAAGGUAGAGGAAAACUCGGGUAUAUUACUGGAAGUGUUAAGGAACCGAAGAAGGAAGAUGAGUCUCAAUACCAUACUUGGGAAACUGAUAAUUCCCUUGUGAUGGCAUGGCUCAUUAAUUCUAUGGAGCCCGUUAUUGCUCCUACCUUUCUCUUCCAUAGCACAGCAAAGGAGCUAUGGGAUGCCAUCAAGGAAUUCUACUUGGAUCUGGAGAACUCUGCAGAAGUUUUCGAACUCAAAUCCAAAUUAUGAGAUCUUUAGCAAGGUGACAUGGAGGUCACUCAAUAUUACAGCCGGUUAUCAAAGCUUUGGCAAGAACUUGAUAUGUUCGAUACUCUCAUGUGGAAGUGUGCAGACGAUGGCCUGCAGUAUCGGAAAACCAUUGAAAAAGAGAGAGCGUUCGAUUUUCUUGCAGGAUUGAAUAAAAGUCUGGAUGAUGUUUGUGGUCACUUGAUUAGCCAGAAGUUGUUCCCUUCCAUCCGAGAGAUCUUUGCCGAAGUCAGAAGAGAGGAAAGACAGAAGAGUUAUGCUAGGAGAUUCUGGAAAAUAGAACAAUACUCCAGUGGAGCCAGCAGCCUUGGCAGUCAAAAAUCCCGAUAAUGCUGGCAACCAGAGAUGGGAAGGGAAGCUAUGGUGUGUUUACAGCCAUCGUAUAAAUCAUACCAGAGAGAACUGCUGGAAGUUACACGGCAGACCUCCAAACUGGCGCACAAUAGGCAAUCCGAAAGAGUUCCACAAGUUGCAGCUGUGGCAAUCAGAUUGAGCAAUUGUUGAAAUUGCUUAAUCAAUCCCAAAACACGUCCAGUAAUAUUCCUUCCUGUACUAUUGCUCAAAAAGGUACCUUCGUCAAUGCAUUAAAUGCCAAGUCAUGUCACCCUUGGAUCAUUGAUCCAGGGGCAAUUGAUCACAUGACUGGAAAUUCCUCUUUGUUCGCAACUUACUCUCCAUGUCCAGGAAACUUUAAGGUUAAAAUUGCAGAUGGCUCAUAAUCUACUGUUGCAGGAAAAGGAUCAAUUAUUCUCUCAAAAAACAUAAUCCUUAAUUCUGUUUUACACGUGCCUAAUCUCUCUGGUAAUCUUCUAUCCAUAAGCAAAUUAACCCAAGACCUUAAUUGUAUAGCUAAAUUCUCCUUCUGUGUGUGAAUUUCAGGAUCCACAUUUAGGGAAGACGAUUGACAAUGCUAAGGAACAUGAGGGACUUUACAUGUUUGAAGAUGAAAUAUGUGUGGGCAAGCAAGAGUAGGCAGUUUAGAUGUUUUUAAUGCUAAGCAUGAUGAAAUAGUAUUAUGGCACCUUAGGUUAGGCCACACAAGUUUUCAGUACCUUAAACAUUUAUUUCCAUCUUUGUUUUCCAAUAAAAGUGUGGAUUCUUUUCAAUGUGAAAUCUGUCGAUUGGUCAAGCAUCACCAUGCACAUUUUCCUUCUCGUCCUUACACACCCUCUAAACCAUUCUCAUUGAUUCAUAGUGACUUGUUGGGACCUUCCAAAAUACCAACCAUGACAGGGAAAAAAUGGUUUGUUACUUUUAUAGAUGAUCAUACUAGAGUUUGUUGGGUCUAUUUGUUGUCAGAAAAAAGUAAAGCAGGAAAAACAUUUAAAGUCUUACAUUCAACGAUAAAAACACAAUGUCAAACAAAUAUCCAAGUGUUUUUUUUUUUUUUUUUUUUGAUAGGCAAAACAGAAACUAUAUUAAAGAAGGCCAAAAGGCCGCACCGCAUACAAAAGGUAUACUAAGCAGCCCCAAGGCCAAAAAAAACAAAAACAAGAACACCUCACCAGCCCUUAAGGGACCGCUACCCACUCCAAGAAGCCUAGAAGUGAAGAGGGCGAGAGUAUUUUAAUUCUCUAUUGAGUGGCUACUUCACUAAAAAAGUAAUUAUCCAUCAAAGUUCUUACCCUAAUACACCCCAACAGAACGGUAUUUCAAAAAGAAAAAAUCGUCAUUUACUUGAAACUGCUCAAUCCCUCAUAUUCACAACCAAUGUACCAAAACAAUUUUGGAGAGAUGCUAUCUUAGCAGCUACUUAUUUAAUUAGUCGUCUGCCAAGCCAAGUCUUAAAUUAUCAAACACGACUUGACCAUUUGCUCUAUGUUUUCCCUCACAUCCGAACACUCACUUCCAUACCGAAAACAGUCUUUGGUUGCACUGUUUUUGUCCAUAAUUAGUGUUAAUAAAAGUAAACUCGAUCCUAGGGUAAUUAAGUGUAUGUUUCUUGGAUACUCUCCCACUCAAAAAGGUUAUUGUUGUUAGAUCACCAAGAAAUUCUACACUUCUUUAGAUGUUACUUUCUUUGAAUCCCAACCUUAUUACUAAAAAUUCCUUCAGGAAGAGACAUCAAGUGAAGCUAAUUUUUAGGAAACACUUGUUCUCCAUCAGUCCAAAGUCUCACAAUCUGUUCCUCGGUCUGUUGUUCCUCAGUCCGAUGUCAAUAAGAGUCACAAUUCUCAUGUCCUUCCUGAUUCGGGUUCCCUAUUGUGUUCUCCCACACCAAAGUCCUCACAACAAUAUGUAAAUCAUCCUGGUUUUGAAAACUCUCAAACCCCCCUUACAAGUUUACACACGACGACAAUAUCAACAUCAUGAGGAGUUCCCAACCGAACCUAGCAACCAGGAAUCCGAACCAAAUGAGGAUGUGAAACAAGCACCUUCAUAAGGUACUCAUAUCUUCCAGGACUUGGAUGUUCCCAUUGCCCUUAGAAAAAGAAUUUGAUUGUGUACCUUGCAUUCUUUCUCCAAUUCUAUUUCCUAUGACAGAUUGUCUACUACACAUCAUGCAUUUAUAACCAACCUUUCCAGUGUAGAAAUUCCGAAUAAUGUUCAAGAAGCCUUGGCAUCUCCAAAUUGGAAGAAAGAAGUUUAUGAAGAGAUGAGGGCUUUGAAGAGUAAUGGAACAUGGGAAAUUACAAAGCUUUCAAGAGGAAAGAAGACUGUGGGUUGUAGGUGGAUCUUUACAGUGAAGUACAACUCUAAUGGGAUGAUUGAAAGAUACAAAACAAUGUUAGUCACCAAAGGGUUUACACAAACCUAUGGCAUAGACUACCAAGAGACUUUUGCUCCAAUUGCCAAGCUAAAUGUUGUUUGAGUUCUACCCUCUCUCACGACAAAUUUAAACUGGGCCCUUCAACAACUCAACGUGAAGAAUACAUUUCUCAACGGAGAUCUUAAAGAAAAGGUUUACAUGCACAUGUCUCCUGGAUUUGAAGAUCAAGAAGGAAAGAACAAGGUGUGUAAAUUGAAGAAAUCGCUUUAUGGGCUCAAAUAAUCCCCUAAUCAAUUUACCAAGUCUAUUAAGAGAUACGGCUACUCUCAAGCACAGUCAAAUCAUACAUUGUUUUUUUAAGCACAGUUUGAAGGGUAAAGUUUUUAUACUUACUGUAUACAUUGAUGAUAUCAUUUUAACCGGAGAUGACCUUAUAGAGAUAGAACAGUUGAAGAAAAUUCUAGUAGAAGAAUUUGAAAUCAAGGAUUUAGGAUCCUUGAAAUACUUUGUUGGCAUGGAAGUAGCUCGUUCAAAAAGGGGAUAUCGGUUUCUCAGAGAAAAUACAUUCUAGACCUUCUAAAAGAAACUGGCAUGGAAUGAUGUACACCAUCAGAAAGUUGCAAGCAACAAGGAGAAAACAAGUUGAUCGAGGCCAGUACCAAAGAUUAGUACAGAGGCUUAUUUAUCUGUCUCAUAUGACACUACCUUUGCUAUAAGUUUAGUCAGUCAAUUUAUGCAUGAUCCAUACAAGGAGCAUCUUGAAGCUAUUCAUAGAAUUUUGAGAUAUCUGAAACAAUCUCCUAGAAAAGGUUUGUUUUUUGAGAAGAAUGAGAAAAAGAAUAUCGAAGCCUUUGCAGACAUCAAUUGGGCUGGAUCCAUAGUAACUUGGAGGAACUUAUGUCUGGACUUGUGAACUUUGUUUGGAGGAACUUCUGGCUACUGCUCAUAUGUUUGGAAGAACUUAGAAACUUGGAGUAAGAAACAAGGAGUUGUCUCUAGGAGUACUGCAGAGGUUAAGUUUCAUUCAAUUACUAUUGGAACUUUUGAACUUUUGUGGUUGAAAUGAGUACUGGAAGAAUUAAGAAUUCAGUGGAGUGGUCUUAUGAAGCUCUACAGUGACAACAAAUCUGCCAUCAGCAUUGCACAUAAUCUGGUUCAGCAUGAUAGAACCAAACAUGUGGAAGUUGAUAGUCACUUUAUCAAGGAGAAGAUUGAAGAAAAGUUGUUGUGCAUGACCUUUAUUCCUAUUAGACAACAAAUGGCAAACAUUCUUACAAAGGGACUCCCAAGACUGGACUUCGAAAGAUUAUGUUGCAAGCUAGGAAUGAUUUUUUUUUUUCGAUAAGUAAACACAUAUAUUAGCAAAAGGCAAAGCGCCGCAUAGCAUACAGGGAGUAUACGAGGCGACGAAGACCUCUCAACAAAAAAACCAAAAGAAACAAAAAACCCACCAACCCUUAACUGGAGGCUAUCCACUCCAGGAAACCUAUAAGGGAAUGAGGCUCCGCACCAUUAUACAAUUUUACCCACCCCCACAAAUUACAAACAAAAGAAUUCUUAACUUUCUGUAUAGCUAACUCCCCCCCUCCCCCCUCCCCCCUGAAUGUUAAUCUAUUCCUCUCCUUCCAAACCGUCCAGAAAAUAAAUAACGGAAUAGAUCUCCAAAUUUUCUCCCUCCUUUUACCCACAAAAGAACCCUUCCAGCUGAUAACCGCCUCCUUUACAAUUUCUGGAAAGACCCACUGGGCUCCAAACAGACUAAGAACAAUCCCCCACAACACACUAGCCACUGUACAAUGAAUAAGAAGAUGAUUAACGUUUUCCUCAUCACUACCACAUAAAUAACAACGAUUAGGAAACUGUCAUCCUCUCUUUUGAAGCCUAUCAAGAGUAAGAACCCUCCCCCAAGUAGCUUCCCACGCUAAAAACGCUAGCUUGGAAGGAACGUUCUCCACCCAAAUGCCCUUUUUGGGAAACAAAGGGAUACUAUGGCUGAUCAUCAGCCCAUACGCAUCCUUAACGUCAAACUUCCCAUUUUUUCCUCCCUUCCACAAGGCCAAGUCCUCCUCCAAGGUAAUUCUUUGACUCCUUAGGACUUGAAGCAAUUCGUCUACCAUGUUCAGCUCCCAAUCAUUGAAGCCUCUAAUAAACCUUAGGUUCCAACCUCCUUGGCCAGAAUUCUGGUCCCAUAUAUCCCCCACAGUGGCACUCCUUUGGGCAGCCACAUUGAAGAGUUGAGGGAACCUUCGGGCCAGCUCCACAUCCCCACACCAAGGGUCCUUUCAAAACCUGAUUUUGGUGCCUUUUCCUACCUUAAAAAUCAUAUUGUCCCAGCACCAAUCAGCUUCUUUCAGAAUCUCCUUCCAAACCCCAACACCAAACGCCCCAUUUACCUUUUUAGUCUUCCACCCAAAUUCCUCUUGCCCAUAUUUUGCCACAAGGACACGUUUCCACAUCUCCUCCUUGGCAUGAGCAAAUCUCCACACCCAUUUUCCAAGUAGGGCUUUGUUCAAAGGGACUAACUUCCUCAAACCUAGCCCCCCCUUCUCCUUACCCACGCACACCCUCUCCCAAUUAACAAGGUGUGCUUUUCUUUCCGUACUUCCCCCUCCCCACAAAAAAUCUCUUUGCAACUUUUCUAGUCUUCUUGCCACAACCCUAGGCAUGCGGAAAAAGGACAGCUGAUAUAAUGGCAUGCUAGCCAAAGUACUCUUAAUAAGAGUGAUUCUACCACCCUUGGAGAUGUAUUGCCGCCUCCAAAGAGCUAAUUUCCACCUCAUCCUUUCUUCCACCCCAUCCCACACGCACAUGGCUUUAUUGGGUGCACCCAGAGGCAGCCCCGGGUAAGUUGAUGGCAGCUGACCUACCUUGCAGCCCAACUCCACAGCCAUCUCAAGGAUCUCAUCCACUUUCCCUACUGGAAUAAUUUCGCUUUUAGCCAAAUUAAUCCUCAGCCCUGAAGCGGCUUCAAACCAACAUAAGAUCCAGCUCAAAUAUGUCAUGUCAUCUUUCUUAGCCUCACAGAAAACUAUGGCAUCGUCCGCAAAGAGAAGGUGGGAAAUAUUCACAGCCUGCCCCUUACCCCUCCGGAUUCUGCACCCGGAGAUGCAGCCCCCUUCCACAGUCCUCCGAAUAAGGGCAUUCAGCACCUCCAUUCCCAUGAUAAACAAGUAUGGGGAUAGAGGGUCACCUUG